GAGGUGUCCCUAGGGCAGACAUGGGAGACCAGGACAGGUUAGGAGGAGGACAGGAGAUGGGAGGGCCAUGAGGAAUGAAGACAGGUUUAUAUGUAGCCUAAUAUGCCCUUGUGGAAUCUAUUCACAUACUAAUCUAUAUCACACACUGCCUAUGUGAUACACCUAUAUCUUAUACGAUCACAGAAUGUAGCAGACACUCUGCAAGCCUCUGACAGAACAUCUGGAUAGCUAGAGCAGUGGACAUAAGUGAAAAGUUCCAUGCACAGAAGUAGCCUCUUGCUCUUGAAGAGACCCAAGGGUACUUGGUGUCUGGGGCUGACUGUGAAGUUCUGGGCUGAGAGACAAGGGUAGGUGGAAGUGUAUCAGCCACACAGGGAGUUCAGAAGAAAACACACCAAUUGGUGUGUGUCUGGCAGGGGGUGGGUGGUAUAUCCGGGUUGUGGAUGGACAGCUAGGAGAAGGUUGUGACCCCGUUGCCCUGGAUAGAGAGACACUGGAGGUAUGGACCAAGACUCUACAUGUAGAUGGUGACUUCCUACCUGGAAGCUGUAGGGAGAGACUCAAAAGGUGGGAAGGGAGGGAAGGGAAGGAAGGGAAAAGGUGUCUGCACAGAUCCCCAGGUAUGACAGCCAGAAGGAAGGAACGGGAGAAGGGGCCCGACACCCGACCACAGUCAGGGUGGAAAGGCCAGAGUAGAAAAGCCACCAGGGGAAGCCAAAGGUAUCAAGGACAAUUAGAAGCUGGAAGAAGGUAGUGCAAUGGUCUCUUUAUCUGAAAUAACAUUGUAGCCAUUGAUUCUCCAUGGAACAUUCUAGGAACUUCUGGAAACCUGCAGUAACCCUGAUAACAUCUCUAACGAGCUUCUCCUGGUCCUCACUGCCUCACUUCCUUACUUCUGCUCCCUGAAGGCCCCACUUGCUGUCUCUGCUCCUUGUCCCACUGAAGUGUGAGCAGGAUAUUUCUCCUCAUGAUUCUCUAGAAAAUCACAUAAGGGAUGGGGUCUAAACUGUGGUGUAAAAUAUUGUAACAAGGGUGUCGACCUUUUGGUCAGCACACACCUGCACCAGCUGGGCAACUGGUCCUUACUUCCUGAUGGAACAUAUCACAACCCAACCUUCGAGACUUCAAGGCUUUGACAAAGGGAUUCUCUGACCUCCGGAAGGGAUUCAGCUGCCAACUACAGAUGAAGAUGCAGAACUCAGCUGCUCUUGCACCAUUCCUGACUGGAGGCUGCAAUGCUGCCAUGCUCCUGCCUUGAUGAUAAUGAACUGAACCCUCUGAACCUGUAAGCCAGCCCCAAUUAAAUGUUGUUCUUUAUAAAA